GAGUUGAGAAGCAGCCCAGGAGCCACAGAGGGAAACAACCACUGAGUCUUGGCUCCAAGACAACCAUCCCCCACUGGCACCUGGAAACACCACUUGGCACAGACUCUCAAGAAACAACAGCGGCAGCAUCUGCCUUAUAAGAGGCCCACCCCUCUGGCGAUGAAAAGCUGCAAUAUCUGGUCCCCAACUCUGAACAGAUGAGGAACCAGAGGCUCAGAAAGAUUCAGUGACCUACCCAAAACCACACAUCUCAGUUCCAGGUCUGUCCAACUGUGGGCCAUUUGCUCUCAACCUGAACCAUCCUUCAUGAGUGGGAUACAGACAAAGCUGUUCCAGAACCCAAGACGUGGCCUCUACUCAGAAAGAACUUUUUCUGAUCUGCCAUUCUCUGCACCUUCCUGAUCCACUCUGGAUUCAUCCGCUCAGCCUUGGGGCUGGGGACACUGGAGAGGCUCACAUAGUGCUUCCCCCCCCCCCACCCCGGGGACCUUCGGGUGGGGUCAGGUGAGUUGGGGAGGGUGCCACAUGAACAAUGAACUAUGAAACUAGGUGAUGAGAACCACCCUCAAGGCAAUGGGAGCGUCACGAGGGACUGAUACCCCUUCCUUCAGGGACAGGCACAGAAACCUUCACAGAAGCAGAGACUUUGGGCUGGUUUCAAGGGAGGAAGAGGAGUGUGAUGAUAAAGUGAACAUGGCAGAGGGAGCCUCCUGCGUGAAGCCAUGAGGGAGCAGAAAAAAAUUUGUCCGGAGAAUGAUGUGACCAGGAGAAGUAAGGGGCUGGCUUACAAAAGGGUCCUGAAUGCCAAGCUAGGCAAUUCGGACUUUCCCCAGAGGCAGUGGAGAUCCGGGAAGAUUCCAGCUGGGGAGCAGAUAACCAAGUUAUGUUCAUGUUUUCCAAAGGUGGUGUGGUAGGCUGGUGGUAGUGGUGUGGAGAGUGGAUUAGGCAGGGGUUGGGCAUCUGGGGAGAGGCCUGGACUGGAUCCGGGCAGAGGAGAGACUGGCUUGUGUGUAGCCCCAGCUCUGCUCAUCUGAGAAAUGGACCGUCUGCCUCAGUUUCCUCAUCUGAGAAAUGGACCGUCUCAAGGUUGAGCAGAAUCACAUAUGAAAGUGACCACUGCAGUGCUUGGCAUAAAAUUAGCACUUGGUAAAUUCUGCUGCUGCUGAUUGUCCCCGUGUGAUAAAUGAAGAAGCUGACACCCAGAAACAUGCUGUGACAAAGCCGUACAACUCAAGAUCUUCCAA